CCAAGGCCUGUUCACUUCCUAAGAAAGUUAUGUCCUCAAAUAAUUGCGCAUGUGUGCGCCUUAAUCUUCUAUGUGUGCGUUGGCCUCCGGGAAAAAGUUGCGAGUAAUAAAAAUAAAAACAUUUUUCUACAGCAACAUUGCUCCCAACUCUGAUUUAAAUUAUCACGAAUUUUAUACAAUAUUAAUCAUAAAACGGGACUUAAAACGCUUAAAACUUAAUUACAUGCGAUUAAGUUUUAUAAUGAAUAUUUGCUUCCAACUGUCUUUAUCAAUGUUCAUAAAAUAUAUGGAGGGCAGGUACGUCUACCCACCAUAAUGAAAAAUAUAUUUGUCAAUGACUCUGUCCAACUGCUGUGGUUAAAGUUCAUAACGAAAAUUUUAUUUAUUAACUCUUUAAAUAAUACAUACAACGUGUACCGCUACGUACCACUUAAGACUGUAAGUCUGUACCUACAUGGAUUACAGCAAUGCACAUAGAAAAUGUGCUAAAUGCGGAGCAACGGCUGUUGAAGCAGCCAGAGUGAAAUUUACAACUUUAGUGGGUUCAGAAGGAACCGAGUCAUAACGCAUCUGGAAAGCGUAUUAAUUAACCGUGAAGAAAUGUAUGAAUACAAUGUAGUGUAUCUGUGUGUAAAGUGUAAUAGGUAGGCAUGCCUAAUGUUAUUUGUAUAAAAGUAAAAGAUAUGUAUAU